GAGAGAAUGUUAUUGUUAAUUUUAUAAGUUUCAGGUUCACCAAAGAGCUGCAAACGGUACCAGGAGAGAUGAACUAAAAUUGCAUUUGUCUCCUAAGACCAUAUAAAGGAUAGUCAGUGCUGCUGUAGUUGUUGCAUUAAAACUACCCAUUUGAGGAGUUAAGCCACAACAGCAUAAAGAAAUACACAACCGAUGUUUAAUUCUUUAUAAUUUAAAGAUGACUUGAAAAGCAAUACAAAACAAAGACAGCAUUGAAACCUACAUGAGUCAAAAAGCUUCAUAACCCUAAAAAAAUUACUGUAGUGUUGGGUUUUUUACAUUGGUUUCUGUAGUUCUGUCAAUCCUAGAAUGCUCUGUAUGUGUUUUCUGUGUUUCAUACAACAAAUGCUCUCCACAAAUUUGUGCAAUGAUAUGCAAUAUAUUCAGGAAAACUAAUUACUGAAGCAGAGUAGAAAGGAAAGUUAUCUCUAAAGCCAGAGGGAUAGAACCAUUUUGUAUAAUGAGAGCUCACAGUCCACACAAAAUUUCUUUUAUUUAAUCUACCUGUGCAUAGAAGCCUAUUAUUUAAAAAGAAAUAAUAAUUGGAAGAAUAAAUUCUGCAGCUGAAAGACAUACUAAAGACAUGUAAAUUGUGAAACAUAAAGUUGCAGACAUUUUAAAACUUUUUUACUAACAAUAAUUAUGAAGGGUGCAUUUAGAGUUGUAGUAUAUUAUGCUACCUUCUACUACCUGGCAAAUGGGCAUUUAUACUAAAAGAGCAUUAGGAAAAAAUGGACAAUGACCCUUUCUUCUUAUCUUUUCUUUUAGCUUUCUUUUCUUGACAAGGAAUGUCGAAUUUGCAUUUAAAUUUCCUGGGGUUUGUCUGCUUGUCAGCACCAAGGCCAUCUCUGUGAUUCACAGGGGUGCUGGAUAUCUGCUGCUCUUUCUCAAAGCCUGAGUUUUUAAAUGAGGCAGAUCCAUUACCCAAAGCCUCAUCCUCUCUGCAGCUGAUCCCAAACCCAGUGAAAUUAGGGGAGACCAUGUGUGAAGGUCAGACAUGCCACCUGUUCCAUGCAGGCACGGCUUCCCUGAAACCAAAGAGCCACUCCACACCAGCAGGAUAACUCCACACAGAAAUGCUGCUGCAGUCUCUGCCAUAGGACAGACAAGAUCAGGAUCAUGGGCAGCUUUUAAUCAAAAAAGAGGGAGCCAAGACAACUGGCUUGGACCAGGAGCCCAGCUGUUAUUUAGGAUUAAAUUCAGAGCCAUCUGAUGAGGAGAAGGAAAAUUGCCAUCCCUAGACAGUGACUUGCUGCCUUUGAGCUGGAGCAGCCAGUACAUUUGUAGCAUGUGGAUCAAAGGUUUAUGGAUUCUCAUCUCUUCUUGAACCCACAAGCAAAGUAGCAACACAGCCAAAUUUUAAAAGUUUGCAAAUCAUUAAGAAACAAAACAGACAAAACACAUGGUGUUCCCAAGAAACUUGAGACAUGAAAGCAUCUGUGCUGUGAUGAACGUACACAAAAUCUGUUGGGACUAGACUUGGUUGUUUAGUAGGGCCUGGAAUGCACCAUGAUUCAGUUCUCCUGUUGCAACUUUCAGGGAUCAGUCUAUAUAUUUUGCCACAAAUCCCCCAAAUGCUCUCUCUGCAAUGGAAUUAAACUUGUCCAUUACUCUGGACUGAACCUCAAAUUUUUGGACUGUCUGAUCUCCAUCCAGAUUUUAAGUACGUGCCUCAUAAUACAUGUACUACUUAAAGCUCUGCAGAAUUUCCUAGGUUUUGGGUUGUUUACAAGCUUUAUGUGAAAAACUCUGUUUAUUGAAGCUGGGGGGGCUUUGCCACUGCGUUCAGGAUUUCCUGUUGCUGUUUCCUUGCCAUGGCCUCUCAUGACAGACUGCUCCUUGUCUCCUUUCCUGUGUCUCUACCUGACACUGGUUAGCCUGGCUGCACACAGGAGCAGUGUCAGGCAGGAAGCUCAACGUGCUACUUCAUGCUGGUAUUGCCCUCUUUUGCCACUCUGCUCAUAACCUGCUUUUCUCAGUGCCAGUCCUUUAAUCAGGCUGCACUGAGGGACUAAACUGACUGUCUUAUGAAAGUCUUACACCUAUGUAGUUGCCUUCAUCAAAAUGUUUGGCAAGACUUAUUUUUCCAUAUAGCCAUCUUGACUGGCACCAAUUAUACUGUCAUCCUUUAAUUUUAUACUAAUUGAAGCUCUUAUCAGCUUUUCCAUUAUAUUGCUUAGGACUGAUGCCAGAAUAACUGCCCUGUAAUUACUGUGAUCCUUCUGCUUCCUCACUUUGGCUUCUGGCAGCAUUGCAUAUUUCUACUGUUCCCUAACAACCUUUGGAUUUAUAGUGCAUGGACUCUUCGAUAUAAAAAUAUUCAUCUCAAAUAGAAGGAUUUUAACAGUGACUUCUCAGACAAUGUGAUGCAAGGGAGCUUAUUAUCUUUGGGCCAUUUAUUGUAUCAUCUUAUUUGUCUUCAAGUACUAAACAGUAGAGUGUGUGUGUGUAUCUGCAUGUGUCUAUUACAAUAUGUAUUAUUUCUCUCUUAUCUAUAGUGUUAAUAACACUGUUGUUUUAAACAAUUCUUGCAAUCUGUUCAUACCACUUUAAAGAUUUGCAAGGGAGACAAUAUAGUCCUGAAGAACACUUCCUAUUUUUCUUAGUAACAUAUAUUUCCCUAGAUUUCUUUGUCAUAUUUCUACAUUUCUUUAAUUGCUAAUUUAUGGUACCACUGUUUAAUUUGAUAUACAUAUAUGUACAUCCAUACAAGCAAAAGAACCUUUUCCAUGUUAUGCAGCAAUGUCGUGGCAUGUUUUGGUGUUUUCUGCCAAAAAAGGGAGACAUAAUCACAAACAUUGCUCAUAUGUAAUCAAAGCAUCAGAAAAGAUGUUCUAACUGAAUUUAAUCCAUUCUGUGCUGAAUGGUGUUAUUUUACAGCCCAGAGCAUUUAUUCUGGUGUGUUCCAGUAAAGACAUAAUAGGAAUAAUAAAACAAGAUAUCCUCCACUGGAACUCCUCAUUUUUUCCCUUUUCCAUUGUCCUUUCUUCUCCCUGUGUUUAAACAUGAGUUGUUUAGCAAUUCUACUUGUUCUUCUAAACUCAUUCACUUUUCCUUCAAAUGGUCAGUAUACAUCUGUCACUGCAGCAACGCACAUCAACAGAGCAGCUUGAAGCUUCCCAAUGACAUCCUAGCAGCUGAAGCCUGCAUUCUCAAUUAACUGGGGUUUGGAUCUCUCCUGUUUACUGCAGUUUCACAAGAGAAUGGUAUUUUAUAAACACCUGGUAAUUUAAUUAAAAUAAGGAGCUGGACUUUUAACAAGAGAUUGGGGGUUUUUUUAAGGUUUGGCAUUCAGAAAUAAAACAGAUGUAUAUUGUGCUUUUUAAGGUUCCAGGAGAUCUUGCCAAAAGUGUCUGGCUUAUACAGUUAUUUUUAUGUUAUAUCUAAGUGUAUAUUAUUCUUUGUUUUCAUGUAUUAAUACAUGUAUAUUAUUUCAUAAAUGAGUUUUGUUUUCUUAUUAUGGAGGAGUACUUUUGGUAAUUGCCCACAGCUCUGCAUAUAAAUGUGCUCUACAAAGGUGUUUUGAUUAAAGAUGUCUGGCUGCAGCUUCAUUAAACAAACUGUUAAUUAAUCUCAAAUAUUAUCUAGGAUGCCAAAGGCUUUUCCUUUGUAGACAAGUAGGUUUAUCUGUGGAAUCUCCAGCCAUUGGGGCUUUCUCU